ensembl:snRNA U6 U6 spliceosomal RNA
GUGCUCACUUCAGCAGCACAUAUACUAAAACUGGAAUGCUACAGAGAAGAUUAGAAUAGCCCCCGAGCAAGGAUGACACGCAAAUUUGUGAAGUGUUCCGUAUUUUU